rnacentral:rRNA from 1 species
AACGAACGCUGGCGGCAGGCUUAACACAUGCAAGUCGAGCGCCCCGCAAGGGGAGCGGCAGACGGGUGAGUAACGCGUGGGAACGUACCCUUUGCUACGGAAUAGCUCCGGGAAACUGGAAUUAAUACCGUAUGUGCCCUACGGGGGAAAGAUUUAUCGGCAAAGGAUCGGCCUGCGUUGGAUUAGCUAGCUGGUGGGGUAAUGGCCUACCAAGGCGACGAUCCAUAGCUGGUCUGAGAGGAUGAUCAGCCACAUUGGGACUGAGACACGGCCCAAACUCCUACGGGAGGCAGCAGUGGGGAAUAUUGGACAAUGGGCGCAAGCCUGAUCCAGCCAUGCCGCGUGAGUGAUGAAGGCCUUAGGGUUGUAAAGCUCUUUCACCGGAGAAGAUAAUGACGGUAUCCGGAGAAGAAGCCCCGGCUAACUUCGUGCCAGCCGCCGCCGUAAGAC